rnacentral:rRNA from 1 species
AUGUGCACCCCGGCCCGCUUAUCUGCGGGAGGCAGGAGACUCUGGUACAAGAGGAGGCGCCAGGACGGGCGGGCCACCGGGGAAAUCCUCCGCCGGGCCGCCGGGGGAAUCCAGCGCGGGUCGCAGCGGGCACCGCCGCCCCUGUCAUCUCGCCGCCUCCUGGAGUAUGGAUCCAUCUCAGGCCAGAUUGGGAACGGGGUUGGGGCAGCAAUUAUUGUCAGGUGUUCACAUCUAAGCAGUCAUCAUGCUGAACUACAGCAAGCUCAACAAGCUGCCACGAUCGUUGAAGAGGACGAAUCAGACAGGGGGGAUGGAUAUAACGGGAUGGUGGAUGAAGUCAUACAAGCCAUUAUCAUGGGACCGAAUAAGGUUUUUAAGUUCAACGAGAGCGACGUUGAGAAGGUAUUCAGAAUGCCAGCAGUUGGAACAGAUGCGAUGGACAAAACCCUUGAUAGGAGCGAGACUGUUUUUGCAUACUUGCGAGCUCGAUUGGGGAUAGAGAAUAAGGAGAUAAGAAGUCUGAAGAGCAUACAGUCCACACUGUCACGUCACUAUAAGGGGAAGAUGUCACAAGCAGAGGUGGCUGCAUUCAAAACUACGUACAUCGUUUUCAUGAUGACACAUGUAUUUGCACCGACAGUCAAGAACGACUACUUCUACACCGACUAUUGGUCCGCACUGGUUGACCCGGAUAGCUUGGAUAAGUUCAAUUGGGGAAGAUAUAUCGUUGAAGUAUUGUGUGCUGCCGCCGGGAAGAUGAAACAAGAUAUUCGCAGGAAAACCACGGUGUCGAACAUAACAUGA